AAGUUGUUUCACAUGUGCUUUAAAUGUCGUGUAAACCACUAUGCAGUAGAACAAAUACUGUACAGUUUACAGAGAAUUAGAUCACAACAGAGUACACGGCAGCGGACAGCAGUAGACAUGGAGCUGGUUACUGCACAUAGAAAACACAGUCCAGCAGAGAGGGAUACUGGUGAUCAAUACAGGAGGUUAAAAAUGAAGAUGUCUGAUGAUACUUGCAUCAGUACAAAUGUGGAUGAGAAUAUCUAUGCUAAUAAAAUGGAUGAGGAUGUGUAUGCCAAUGCAGACAUCAUUAAGGCUAAUGAAGCCCCGAAAGGCACCUCCAGUCCCAUGGAACAGACAUCAAGGAGGUCUCAACAUUCAGGAUCUGAGCCUGCAGGGGCACGAUGGUACAGACUGGCCACAGUGUGUCUUGGGAUGCUGUGUUUGCUCCUGCUGUUGAUCAUCACAGUCAUUUCUGUUUACUGUAAGUUUGUUAGUUACACUUUAGUAUUGUGUCCAUUAGCUAUCUGACAGCAGAGAUUUCUGAUAUUAUAUUUGUGGUACUAUGUGUCCGAGAGCCUAUUACAGUCUAGAAUUACUGUCAAUAAUACAAAUUAAGUAAAGUCUUUGUAUGUUUUUUUCUGUUGUUGGUGGCUCUCAUGUGUUUACUUUUAUGCAGUUGCUACCUAACAGUACUCUCUGUUAGUUUUAUGAUUUAUGACAUGAUAUCAUAACUAUAUAAAUUACAUGGCAUGAAUUUGAGUCAUUUAAUGACUAAGUUCUACAUCUGCUUCAGAUAAAGGAGCUCUUCAUGAGGGGAAGGCCAACAUGUUAAAAGCAGAGAGAGAAGAGACUAAUUACAACACACUGAGGACAGAAAGGGACCAGCUACAGGCCAAUUACAGCACACUGACAAUAAAAUUUUCUCAACUAGAGGAAAAAGUUAGAUAUGCAGAAGGUGAACCAACUAUUUAAAUUAUUCAUAUUCACUUAACAGAACAAGGUGCUCAAUAUGGGGAAUCACACCUGUUGCUUGAGUGGUGCUUAAGUAAUUUAAAUAAAUAAAUAAUUGGUGAUCAGUGUUGACACACGACAGCACACAGUGCACAACAACAAAAGGUGUCCUCUGCAUUUAACCCAUAUAUGACAUCAUGACAUAGAGGGGGCAGCUAAUUCAGCACCAGAGGAGCAGUACCUUGCUCAGGGUACCUCAGUGGUAGCUUGCUGGUUGGGGAUUUGAAUCUUUCAAUUACAAGUGUGCUUCUCUAACCAUUAGGCCACCACUACAAUUUGGUCACAUUGUAGUUGAGGGGACAGAAAUAAUGGUAACAAUAGUAACACUUUACUUGACUAGGCAGAAAUAAAAUAACAUUAUGCUAUUAGUAACUAAGUUUUUGUUAUAUACUGAUCUCAUGUUAAUUCAUCAUUAAUGAAUUGUGACGAAUGCUUUAUGUCAAACAGUAUAUAUUUUUUGUAAUAUAUCUGUUCAUUCUUUAUACUUUUGUGAACUACUGAAGGGGUGCAGUACAGUAGGAGCAUGGAUAAACUGGCAGAUUCAGGGGGUCCACCACAUCACAUGGGCCCUUGAAUAAGCCUACAUGAAAUGAUAAAACUAACACAGAUGUCCUGUGGGUUGGAACAGUUUUAGUUUAAAAUGUUAUUACAUCUCUGAUAAAAAGAACAGUUGGGUCGACAGUCAGAAAGACUGUAGAGAGAGAGGAGCAGAUCUGGUGGUCAUAGACAGCAACGAGGAACAGAUUUUCAUCAGUCAAUUCCGGAGAGCCUGGAUUGGUCUCACAGACAGAGAACACGAAGGGAACUGGAAAUGGGUGGAUGGAACACGAAUUACCAUAAGUUACUGGGCACCAGGGGAGCCGAAUGAUUCUGGGAAAGAGGAGGAUUGUGCUGAGGCAUACACAGAACAUGACACAGUGAAGAACUGGAAUGACAAAUCUUGCUCUGUAAAGCUGCACUGGAUCUGUGAAGGGGUAGUGGGGGUAGUUAAUUAAGAUCAACUACAAAGAGAUAUAUAAUUGACUGGGGAUUUUUUUUAAACGUAAUAAUAAAGUUUCCGAAAUUUCCUGUCAUAAUAUGGCUGUUAUGAAUAUGCAGAGACAAUUUUUCUUGAUUUUUUUGGUACAUUUUUGGCUUGUGUAUUAGAAUGUAUUUUCAAGUAGUUACUGAUACAGUGUUAUGCAAAAGUUUGGUGGCAUGGUGGUGAAGUGGUUAGCACUGUUGCCUCACACCUCUGGGACCCAGGUUCGAGUCUCUGCCUGGGUCACAUGUGUGUGGAGUUUGCAUGUUCUCCCCAUGUCGUCGUGGGGUUUCCUCCGGGUACUCCGGGUUUCCCCCCACAGUCCAAAAACAUGCUGAGGCUAAUUGGAGUUGCUAAAUUGCCCGUAGGAGUGCAUGUGUGAGCGACUGGUGUGUGAGUUUGCCCUGCGAUGGGCUGGCCCCCCAUCCUGGGUUGUUCCCUGCCUCGUGCCCAUUGCUUCCAGGAUAGGCUCUGGACCCCCCACGACCCAGUAGGAUAAGCGGUUUGGAAAAUGGAUGGAUGGUUGUUUGGAUCAGCAAUUUCACUUACAGUAAAUAUAUAAUACAACAGACGAACACAGUGAUAUUUCAAAAGUAAAAUGAAGCUUAUAGGAUUUACAAAAAAUGUGCAAUAAUUAAACAAAAUUAGGCAGGUGUAUAAAUUUGGGCACCCCAACAAAAAAAUUACAUUAAUAUUUAGUAGAUCCUCCUUUUGCAGAAAUAACAGCCUCUAAACAGUACCUAUAGCUUCCAGUGAGAGUCUGGAUUCUGGCUGAAAGUAUUUUGGACCAUUCUUCCUUACAAAACAUCUCCAGUUCAGUCAGGUUUGAUGGUUUCUGAGCAUGGACAGCCCGCUUUAAAUAACACCACAGAUUUUCAAUAAUAUUCAGGUUUGAGGUCUGAGAUAGUCAUUUCAGAACGUUGUACUUGUUCUUCAAGAACUGGCUGGUCACAUUUCGAAUAUAUAAUUGCCCCCUUGACAGAUGCCAUUGUGAAGAGAUGUUAUUCACUUCACCUAUCAGUGGAUUUAUUGUUAUGGUGUGUUUAUAAUCUCACAGCUGUGUAUCAUUUUUGGUAAAUGUUUGGUAAAUUUGAAUGUAUUAAGUAGCAACACCAGUGAAUGAAACUGGAAAAAUUUUGAAUUUUUUGUGAGAAAUGUAACAAUAUCUAUAAAACUAAAAAGCGUAUUGUAUUUGUCAUGCCCACACAGGCUGGAACCACCGGGUGUGCGAGGUUAAGGGUAAUGAACGCAAGUACAAAUACAGCCAAGUCACACCAGCACAGCGUGAAGUAUUGAGCAGAUGUUUUCUAGCCUUGCUGAGCGUUAUGUUGUCUAUCGUCUCCCUUUUAUUCCCCGCCUACUCCAUUUACCUUGUGUUCACUCCUUACCUGCCUCCCUUUCCUUCUCCAGACCCGCUCCCGAUCCUGACCUGUCUUCCCAGCCGAGCCUGGCACGUCUCGUUCCCACUCCCCCGUGUGGUCUCGUCUCGUGCUUUUCUGUAGGACUGACUUCCCAGCUACCGACUUCUCUGCCCCUCCCUGGACCUCGCCUUUUGCCAAUCCCCACCUGUGCUUUUGCCUGGCUAGCGCCAAUAAACCUAGCACUGGUUUGCACCUCUGGAUCCUUGUCUUCCUGUCCUGGGUUACCUGACAGUAUUGGGGAAAAUUUACCCAAAAUACACUAUUACCAAA